rnacentral:rRNA from 1 species
GACGAACGCUGGCGGCGUGCUUAACACAUGCAAGUCGAACGGAAAGGCCCUGCUUUUGUGGGGUGCUCGAGUGGCGAACGGGUGAGUAACACGUGAGUAACCUGCCCUUGACUUUGGGAUAACUUCAGGAAACUGGGGCUAAUACCGGAUAGGAGCUCCUGCUGCAUGGUGGGGGUUGGAAAGUUUCGGCGGUUGGGGAUGGACUCGCGGCUUAUCAGCUUGUUGGUGGGGUAGUGGCUUACCAAGGCUUUGACGGGUAGCCGGCCUGGGAGGGUGACCGGCCACAUGGGGACUAAGAGACGGAGCAGACGCCAACGGGGGGCAGCAGGGGGGAAUAUUGCGCAAUGGGCGGAAGCCUGAGGCAGCAACGCCGCGUGCGGGAUGACGGCCUUCGGGUUGGAAACCGCUUUCGCCUGAGACGAAGCGUGAGUGACGGUAAUGGGUAAAGAAGCACCGGCUAACUACGUG